AUGCAAGUCGAGCGGAAAGGCCCCUUCGGGGGUACUCGAGCGGCGAACGGGUGAGUAACACGUGGGUAAUCUGCCCAGGACACAGGAAUAACCAGUGGAAACGCUGGCUAAUGCCUGAUGAAGUGCAGACCUCUAGGGGUUCUGUACCAAAGGUAGCUUCGGCCUCCGGUCCUGGAUGAGCCCGCGGCCCAUUAGCUUGUUGGCGGGGUAACGGCCCACCAAGGCGACGAUGGGUAGCUGGUCUGAGAGGACGAUCAGCCACACUGGGACUGAGACACGGCCCAGACUCCUACGGGAGGCAGCAGUGGGGAAUCUUGCGCAAUGGGCGAAAGCCUGACGCAGCAACGCCGCGUGCGGGAAGAAGGCCUUCGGGUUGUAAACCGCUUUCAGCGGGGAAGAAGGCGAGCGGGUUAAUAGCCCGUCAGCUGACGGUACCCGCAGAAGAAGGUCCGGCUAACUACGUGCCAGCAGCCGCGGUAAUACGUAGGGACCGAGCGUUGUCCGGAAUCAUUGGGCGUAAAGAGCGUGUAGGCGGCCACUUAAGUCUUGCGUGAAAUCUUGCGGCUCAACCGCAAGCGGUCGUGG
rnacentral:rRNA from 1 species